rnacentral:rRNA from 1 species
UACGUAGGGGGCAAGCGUUGUCCGGAAUCAUUGGGCGUAAAGAGUGUGUAGGCGGCUCGAUAAGUCUGCUGUGAAAGUCCAGGGCUCAACCCUGGAAGGCCGGUGGAAACUGCCGGGCUAGAGUCCGGAAGAGGCGAGUGGAAUUCCCGGUGUAGCGGUGAAAUGCGCAGAUAUCGGGAGGAACACCAAUGGCGAAGGCAGCUCUCUGGGACGGUACUGACGCUGAGACACGAAAGCGUGGGGAGCGAACAGG